UACGGGGGGAGCAAGCGUUGUUCGGAUUUACUGGGCGUAAAGGGCGCGUAGGCGGCGUAACAAGUCACUUGUGAAAUCUCCGGGCUUAACCCGGAGCGGCCAAGUGAUACUGUUGUGCUAGAGUGCGGAAGGGGCUACUGGAAUUCUCGGUGUAGCGGUGGAAUGCGUAGAGAUCGGGAAGAACAUCAGUGGCGAAGGCGGCCUGCUGGGCUGUUGCUGACGCUGAGGCGCGACAGCGUGGGGAGCAAACAGG
rnacentral:rRNA from 1 species